AAAGCUACUGUAUCGUAAGAAAAUAUUGCUACAUAAAUCCCCCACCAAAGGCCUAAAUAUGAUCUGACAGGAGGACACGAAGUCCAUUCUAUCUCCUUUUCUUCUCCCAUCUGAUAUCAGCCUUUCUCUUCUCUAAAGAAGAUAAUCAAUGGAGGAUUCACUCUUCUUCAUAGGACUCAUAGGCAAUGUCAUAUCUGUUCUGGUCUUCAGCUCUCCCAUCCCGACGUUUUGGAGGAUUGUUAAGAACGGCUCAACAGAGGAAUU